rnacentral:lncRNA from 1 species
AGACAGUCGCGCGGGGACCAUCGAGAACAAGGAGUGCUGUUUCGAAGUAGCGGCUAGAGGGGCCCCCUGCCUCCGCCCCCGCCCUUCCGAGGAUUCCUGGAGUCCACUCACCCCUCCCCACCACUCCAGUAGCGGCGGGAGCAGCAGCGUUAGGCCGGGGUGUGGCUGCACCUCUGCGAAGGCUGUCGUGCCCCGUGCAGCUGCGGCGUUCGGGUGGGGGAGGGGAGGCUCACACCCUGCGGCGGCUUAAGCCUGGAUUUACGCACUGGAGGAGGGAAUUAGCCCUGAGAUGUCAGCCCUGUGCCCCUGGCGCUGUCCACCCGGACGCCCGCGGAGCGCCAGGCGCCGCAGCGGACCGCGCGCGCACUGAUUGCCGCAGCUACUCUCCCUGCCGUCGCCGCCCGGGACCGGGUGACAUUGAGGUUUUCGUCUAUCGCCGCUGGGCCGAUAGGGCUUCUUUUUAAGAUUUGGCUUUCCAAGUAAGAUUUUUGUUUGCCUGCUUUUCUCCUGGAAUUUUUUUGUUUUUGGUCGAAGAAGCAGGUAACUUGCAUAUCUUAAGGAAAACAUUGUUUUUGCUUUGCUUUUGUUGUUUAAAGAUCCUAAAACGUACCGUGAUUCCUUUACGUUACUAAUAAUUGGAAAGUGUGUUAAAUCAAGGGUUCGCUUAAUGUUCUUUAGCCUUUGUACAUAGAAUAUAUAAAUGUCGUGAGUCAUCUUUACGAGGUUUAUGAGUUUGUGUUCGGGUUUGGCUUUUUUGUUGUGUGUGCGUGGUUUUUUUUUUUCUUUUCUUGUAACACCGUUAGGCGUUUCAUUAAGGUGUAUAAAAAGUAAUUUUAUACACCUAUUAAAAAUUCCCGCUGCCUCGGCUGGAGACUGGAUUAUUCGGGCUUUGGGAUUUGCUGCUUCCAGCAGUAUCCUUAGAAGAAAAUGAAGCUUCUAGGUACUUCUGUAGUCAACAAAUAAUUAUUUGCCUGUUUAAUUAAAGUGUUCGGGCACGGGGGAAACAAAGACGAGUUUGCAGACUCCAGCAAAAAUCUUAAGAGUUUAAGUAUUUGGGCCGGGCGCGGUGGCUCACGCCUGUAAUCCCAGCACUUUGGGAGGCCGAGGCGGGCGGAUCACGAGGUCAGGAGUUCGAGACAAGCCUGACCAACAUGGUGAAACCCCCGUGUCUACUAAAAAUACAAAAAUUAGCCGGGCGUGGUGGCCGGUACCUGUAAUCUCAGGUACUCAGGAGGCUGAGGCAGGAGAAUCGCUUGAACCCGGGAGGUGGAGAUUGCAGGGAGUCGAGAUCAUGCCACUUGCACUCCAGCCUGGGCGACAGAGCGAGACUCCGUCUCAAAAAAAAAAAAAAAAAAAAAGUUUAGGUAUUUUCCACUGCAGUUAAACGAAUUUGUAUUAAUUGGACACUAUCCAAAAAUCUCAAAGGAAGAUUAUAAGUAAGUUUUAUUAAUCAAGUUAGUAGAAUUUACAUUACAGAAUAAUUAAAACUCAAGAAUACAGGUCAAAUUCUGAAAACGUCCUAAAAAUAUAAUCUUACCAAACUCCCGUAAUAAUCAAGUCACAUAAAGGUAAUACCAAGAAUGUUUACCGUAAAGUGGUAGUGACUCCACAUUUGUCUCCACCUGCCAGAAUAUUAGCAAAGGAUAAAGUGGAUAUGGUGCUCAAACCAUAUAUUCCGGGUUAGAUACAACUAAGAUGAUUGACUGAAGGGAAGUCUGUUUAAUCUUUUCUGGCUCAAGUGACGGUAAUUGUCAUUUAUUUUGAUCUUAAGAUAUCAUUAGACAUACCCACCUUUUGGUAAUAGUGACUUUUCCAAAAGGUUCAUUUUGAUUUCACAUGUAGCUUAGGAGCUUCUGGAAUUCUUAGAAUUUAUGUCAAAAGUUCCAGACAACCUAGGAAUGAUUUUAAAGCUAACACCUUUACAUGCUUUAUGAGGAUGUAUGAUGUCCAUAUCACUGAUAGUCCUUGAUAUUAUGGCCAAGAUCUCUACAUCCAGGAUGUGCUCCUGCAUCCACACAAUAUUCUUCUUGGAACUCACUUAACUUCUGGCAGGCGUGGUGGCUCACGCCUGUAAUCCAGCACUUUGAGAGGCCAAGUCGGGAGGAUUGCUUGCCUCAAGGAGUUGGCCAUCAGCCUGGGCAACGGAGUGAGACCUUGCCUCUACAAAAAGUCAGAAAAUUAACCUGGCAUGGUGGUUCCUGUUGUUCCAGCUACUCCUGAGGCUGAAGUGGGAGGAUCACUUGAACCUGGAAGGUGGAGGCUGCAGUGAGAAAGGCAGAGUGAGACCCUGUCUCAAAAACAAACAAAUGUUACUAUUUAUGUGAAGUCUUCCCAGGCUUCCUGAGGCAGAAUUAAUGAUCCCUUUUCACAGCCCUUUAUCUUUACCUCUGUUAUUCUUCAUUGUUUUCUACUAGACCAUGAGUUCUUAGAAAACAGUGUCUUCUAUGUAUCUCUCCCUCCCUAACACACUCUCACACACACAUAAACACAGCAGCAGUAUAUCCACACUAUGUAAUUGCCAGUUGAAUUAUUGAAUGACAAAAUAAUAAGUAUGUCCAACUUGUUAGAUUAAGGGGCUUUCAAGCAAACUAGGUGUUCUUCCAGGGACUUGAAAGUCUCCUCUCCACACCAUCUCAUUUCAUCUCUGGCAUUAAAAAAAAAAAAACUUUUGGCCAGGUGCUGUGGCUCAUGCCUAUAAUCCCAACACUUUGGUAGGCCAAGGAGGGAUGAUUGCUUGAGCCCAGGAAUUUUUUUUUUUUUUUUUUUUUUUUUGAGACAGAGUUUCACUCUGUUGCCCAGGCUGGAGGUGCAAUGGCGCGAUCUCGGCUCACUCCCGGGUUGACGCCAUUCUCCUUCCUGUCUCCCAAGUAGCUGGGACAACAGGCACCUGCCACCACGCCCGGCUAAUUUUUUUUGUAUUUUUAGUAGAGACGGGGUUUCACUGUGCUAGUCAGGACGGUCUCGAUCUCCUGACCUCGUGAUCCGCCCGCCUCGGCCUCCCAAAGUGCUGGGAUUACAGGUGUGAGCCACCGCGCCCGGCCAAGCCAGGAAUUUGAGACCAGCCCCGGCAACAUAGCAAAACCUAUCUCUACAAAAAAUUUAAAAAAUCAGUUCCUGCCCACCCAGGGACGCCUUGGGUUGUGUUUAACCCGUUUCUGUUGCCGGGUGCGGUGGCUUACGCCUCUAAUCCCAACACUUUGAGAGUCCGAGGUGGGUGGAUCACUUGAGGCCGGGAGUUCGAGAGCAGCCUGGGCAAUGUGGUGAAACCCCAUCUCUACUGAAGAUACAAAAAUAAGCUGGGCGUGGUGGCGCACGCCUGUAAUCCUGGCUACUGGGGAGGCUGAGGCAGGAAAAUUACAUGAACCCACAAGGCAGAGGUUGCAGUGAGUAGAGACUGCACCACUGUACUCAAGCUGGGUGACAGAGUGAAACUAUGUCUCAAAAAAAAAAAAAAUUAGCUGGGUGUGGUGGCGUGAGCCUGUGGUUCCAGCUACUCAGGAGGCUGAGGUGGGAAGAUUGCUUGAAUCAAAAAUUCAAGGCUGCAGUGAGCAGUGAUGCCACUUCAUUCCAGUCUGGACGACAGAGCAAGAGCCUGUUUCAAAAACAACAACAACAACGAAACGCUUCUUCAAAUGACCUGGUGAUGGAUGUAUGAAAUUUCUUGAGAAUGAAAUGAAACUUUUUGUUACACAUUCAUAGGUAACAAUUAAUUGUUUAAGUGGCUGGAGAUGCUGUAUUGGACUUGCCCCAAACAGUAGAAGGAAGGAAUAUCCCCUGUCAAUGUACAGACAUGAACUAUUCCAUUGCUUUAGGAGAUUCCCAGUGUGUUUCAGAUAACACACUAAAAUGCUAGAUCAUCAUUGAAUUUAGCCUUUGUAAAGCAAUUAUUCUCUGCAGCAAAAACUAAAGUACUUGUAAAAGGCCAAAAAUGAAGUCUGUUUGAGAAUUAAACUGGAAUCACUUUUACCUAGAACAAGAUGCAUACACCUAAGCCAAGGAAGUCAGUUUUCAUCUGCUAGGUGCAGUCUGCAAAUGCAGCAGGAGGUUCCCUUAUGUUCAAAUUUUUAAAGUAUUAAUAGGGUAUGUAUGCCAGUUGGCAACCUGGAAUAAACAGUGUGGAAGAAACAGCCAAAGAACCCAUUUUUUUAUACAAGGUACACAUACUUGAGCUGCUUCUACAACCAUGUUAAACAGCCUAUAACCUAUCUGGACCUAUUUGCAGAACACCAUCAGUGGGAUUUAAGCAUUUUGUUGGAGAGUUAGUUUGUGAUUUUACGUGAAGUGACCAAUUGCCCAUGCAGUGAACAUUCUCUGUCAUAUUCCUUGGUUAUCAGGAAGCUUCACUUUAUUCAGAAAAUAAAAGCCCUAUCAACUUCUGAAAAGUCGGGUUUUACUUCAGCCAUAAAGUCUAAUACUGUAGAGUCAGUUCUGCUUACUCAUGAGGAUGUCAAUAGUUUCUUUUAGAUACAGUUUUUUAAAACGUAGCUCAAAAAAGAAUUCAGACAAAGCUGAUCACACGCCUGUAGUCCCAGCUACUCAGAAGGCUGAAAGAGGAGAUUCCCUUGAACCCAGUAAUUCAAGCCCAGCCUGGGCAAUACAGUGAGACCCCCAUCUCUUUAAAAAAGAAAUAAUAAGGAAAUACACUCCUCUCACUCCAGACCUACAUAUCAAACUGCCUAUUUGACAUCCCUACUUGAAUGUUCACAGGAAUCUCAAGCUUUAGAUGUCCAAAACUGAACUCUACUUUCCCUACAAACCUGCUUCUUUGGUCUUCCUCUUCUCAGUAAAUGACAUCUCCACCCACCCAUAUAUUCCUGCCAAAAUCCAGGGAAUCAUCUUUGAUAUCCCCCCUCCCUCACCCCCCACAUCCAAUCAAUCACCAACUCCUCCCACCUCCAAGAUAUAUCUUGAUUCAUCUAAAUGCUUCUUAGAACAUAAAUACUGGGGUAAUUUCUAGGUAGUUAUUCACUUUCAACCAUGCAACACAUUAAUGGCACAUGUACAUUUCUAGGACUGGGAAAUAUAACAGUGAUCAAAAUAGGCAAGGUCUCUGGUCUCAUGGAGCUGACAUUCUAGUGGCAGAGACAAACGACAGACAAAUAGAUAUGUAAUAUAAUUUUAGGAAGUGAUAGGAAGAAAAAGAUAAAAUGCUACACAUAGGAUAUGUGCUAUAGGACAGUCAGAGAAAACUCUUCAAGGAAAUAACUUUUUGAGUAGUGCCCUGAAGAAAGUAAGAGAGAAAACCAUAUACUUAGCUUAGGGAAGACUUUACAAGGCAAAGGGUACACCUGAGGCAGGAGCGUGAUUUGUGCUUACAAUGAAAAAUGGAGUCCAGUGUGGCUAAAGUGAAGGAAAGCAAGUAUAAUAGAUCAUACCUGAGAGGUAGCCAGUAAUGAGCUUACUCAGGGUCUUGUAAACUGUGGUUGGCACUCUACUUUUAUUAUCAAAGUCAUGAGAAACCAUGGAAGGGUUUUGAGCAGAGGAAGAACAUGACCUGACUUUAAGUGGAAGAUAAUGGAUGCUGUGUGGACGGUGGACUGUGGGAGGACAUCAGGGAGAUGAGUUAAAAGGGCACUGUCAAGAAAAGACUUUUUUUUUUUUUUUGAGACAGGAUCUCGCUCUGUUGCCCAGGCUAGAGUACGGUGGCACAAUCACAACUAACUGCAGCCUUAACCUCCUGGGCUCAAGUGAUCCUCCCACCCUCAGCCUCCCAAGUAGUUGGGACCACAGGUGUGCACCACCACACCUGGCUGAUUUUUGUAUUUUUUGUACAGGUGGGGUUUCACCAUGUUGCCCAACCUGGUCUUGAACUCCUCAGCUCAAGUAAUCUGCCUGCCUCGGCCUCCCAAAGUGCUGGGAUUACAAGCGUGAGCCACCGCGACAGGCCAUGAAUUGACUAUUUUUUUAGCCUUUCUUGGUUAAUUUAUUCUGAGAAGAUAAAUCUACAAAGAGGGUGUUAUUUACAUGUGGUCAUGUGACUUUGCUUAUUUUUCCUAGAAGGAUAUUUUUCUGCAAAGAAAAAUCGUGCUCUAAUGACAAUAAGGGAUCAUUCAAAAUUAAACAAGAAAGACUUGAAUUAAUAUUAUUGAUAAUAUUUCCAGUAAAGACUCAGACUAGCGUUUUCAUCCAAUGCAAUAUUUUUUCCUUUAUUUUCCACCCCUUUCUGAAGUUCUGGAAUGAGAUUUUGAUUAGCUACUGCAGGUGGCGUUUGUCCAUAACGUCACAGGAUCCUUUGGGUGUCUCUUUGCCAGCCGGAAAGCUCUGCGGUUGGUAGCACCUCUGCUACCAUGCCCUCUGGGCUUGUUCCGCCCACGUGGCCCAGCAGGCUGCACUCCACUUGCACUACCAGCCCAGAUCUCAUGCCUGCCAAGGGUGAGCCAUGCACAGAGCAGUGAGGGGUGUGUGAGUGAGUGAGCAUGGAGUCUGGCCACUGUGUACAGCCAAGCACGCUGGCUGCUGCAGCAGGGUGAGCAGCUCCAGGCACCAGCACAAGCACUGGCUCCAUGCGAGGCUGCGGCUGGACAAGAUGUACUGCAGGUGGCUUCCACUGCAGGCACCAGCGUCUGGAUGAGGGGAACAUAGUGGCGCCUGAAAGUUCAGAGACACCAGGAACCGCAGAACCCCAAAGAGGGUGUUACAGCAUGUCACAGCCCCAGCUCGAAACCCUGAGGUCUGGGCUCCCAGAAGGGCCACAGCUCUUUUCUCCUUCUUGUCACCCACAGCUUGGGGAGUUGAGGGGCAUGUUUCAGCCCAUUUGUGUUAACAGCUCUUUCAGUGCUGCCACUCUGCUCCAGCCUGCGGCUCCUGGACUGGCCCAGCCCCACCACUGCUUCCCAUUGUGUGGGGCAGCUGCCCAGUGCCGGCAGAAGACAGGAAGGCUAUAGGGUUACAGCUCUGGCUUGGGAAAUCCUGAGGUCUGGAACCCCAGAAGGGUUGUCACUCUUCACUCCCACAGUCUGGGAGAGUGUCACUUGCCUGCAGCUCGGUGAGCCAACCAGAAAAGUGUUACAGCCCCUUUAGCUCCCACCCACAGCCACAGCUCCUUUCACUCCCACCAUUUGGCAGGUCCCAAGUUCUUGUCCCACUUGCAGGAAGAACGAGGUUAUGCGGGCAACUGGAGGGUGAGCAAGGUGGAGAAGAGCUUUAUUGGGAGAUCAAACAGCUCUCAGUGGAGAGGAGACCUGAAGUGGGUAUCUCCUAUCCUCAGGGAGGCAGUCCUGACCAGAGUCUGAGUAUAGCUGAGUCCAGGGUUUUUAUGGGCUCAGCAUGGAGUAAGUGCAUGCUGACUGGUCCAUGGGCAGGAGGAAGUGCAUGCUGACUGGUCCAUGGGCAGGCCUGGAAAAAGGCGCCUGGCCUAUCCAGCCACUUUUAAGGUUCUUUUAGCUGCUAAGUUUAUAAUUGUCCCACUUAGUUUGCAGGAGUUGCAGUUCAAGAGAAUAAUUAUUGAAAGAAUACAGAAGAGUCAGGGUUUUCAGAUUAAGGUUCAAUUUAGAAAUAUUGAAAACCUAAGAAAACGUUUAGGAAAGUGUCUCUGUCCUGUGGCUCUUUGGGGCCUUUUCAUUUGUUGCAGUGGCUCUCAGUUAUUUGAUAUUUCCUUACUCCAUAAGAGCUGCCUCAGAAUAAUCACUUUCUCAUGCCAGGGCUGAGAGUUCUCAGGCUCUCAGACUCAGUACAAUUGCUUAAAAGUCACACUUCAAAAAUAGUAACACAUAAUUAGAUAGUACCUCUGUAGGAGGGGUUUUUCUGUUUAACUAAUUUAUAUCCUUGAUGUUUUGGCUACUGUAGUAGACAUUUGCUACUUGGGGCUCCCCAGCAUCAGUUUUUCCUUCUCUUAGUAAUAAAUAGCAUAGGAGAAACAAGUGGAGCCAGAGGAGGUAAUACAGAACAGCAAGCCAGCUCAUCAGAAUGAACUCAUCACCACUGGUAACAUUGUGGCCAGGCACAGCCCCUAAGUCAGCUAGUCACAUUUGAAGAACUUCCCUUUGAAUUUUUUUUUUUUUUUUUUUUUUUUUUUGGAGAAAGAGUCUUGCUUUCUCACCCAGGAUGGAGUGCAGUGGUGCAAUUUCAGCUCACUGCAACCUCCGCCUCCUGGGUUCAAGCAAUUCUCAUGCCUCAGCCUCCUGAGUAGCUGGAAUUACAGAUGUGGACCACCACACCUGGCUAAUUUUUGUAUUUUUAGUAGAGGCAGGGUUUUGCCAUGUUGGUCAGGCUGGUCUCUAAUGCCUGGCCUCAAGUGAUCCACCCACCUUGGCCUCCCAAAGUGCUGGGGUUACAGAUGUGAACCACUGUGCCCAGCCCCCUUUUAUUUUUUCUAUUUUAUUUUUAUUUUCAUUUUUAUUUUGAGAUGGAGUCUCGCUGUGUCACCUAGGCUGGAGUGCUGUGGCCCAAUCUCAGAUCACUGCAACCUCCGCCUCCCAGGUUCAAGUGAUUCUCCUGCCUCAGCCUCCUGAGUAGUUGGGAUUACAGGUGACCACCACCACGCCUGGCUAAUUUUUGUAUUUUUAAUAGAGACAGGGUUCCAUCAUGUUGGCCAGGCUGGUCUCGAACUCCUGACCUAGUGAUCUGCUGGUCUUGGCCUCCCAAAGUGCUGGGAUUACAGACAUGAGCCACCACUCCCAGCCUCCUUUUGAUAUUUGAGUGAAGAAAUACUCUCCUAUUGGUCAUAAACAGAGCAUGUAGCUAAGGGAACCAACUACUGGCAGCCGUUUCACAGCAGAAAGAUCCCUAUGAAGACAGGAAUCAAACAGCAAGGAAGAGUUACUAAGAUGUGGUAAACAGGAUACCAGGUCAUGGUCACAUUCUUUGAACAACCAGAUCGACUUCUCCCUACAGCUAUCUCUGCCUCUAGACUUAGUCACAUGAUUCAGUAAAUUCCCUUUAUCAUUUAAGCUAGUUUGACUGGCCAGUUUAUUUCUCUAAAUCAAAGGUAUCCUAACUGAUUUGUUGGUUGUCAACUUUGCAUUAUACCACCCACUUGUAAUAUCUCUGCCUUGAAGAGGAAAAACCAGGAACAUUUCCUAGAAUCCCCUUCCCGUUAUGAUCCCAAGUUAGGAUAUGCCAGUGAGAGGUGCUGUUUUAGUCCCUUUUGCCUGCUGUGACAAAAUGACACAGACUGGGUAGCUUAUAAACAACAGAAAUUUAUUUCCCACACUUCUGGAGGCUGGAAAGUCCAAGAUCAGGGUAUUGGUAGAUUCUGUGUCUGGUGAGGGCUCAUUUUCUGAUUCAUCGAUGGCACCUUCUCAGGGGUCCUCACAUGCGGAAUUGAUAACGCAGAUCUCUGGGAUCUCUUUUAUAAGGGCACUAAUCCCAUUCAUGAGGGUUCUGCCUUCAUAAUCUAACCACCUAUCAAAGGCCCCAUUUCUAGUACCGUUACCUUAGGGGUUAGGAUUUCAACAUGACCUCUGGGGAGAUACAUUCAGCCCAUAGCAGGUACUCACAAUAGAAUAAGAAGGCAAAGCAAGGAAGCUUUUAUUCUCAGGAUGUGGAAGCAUCACCCACUUCUCCCAGUAAGUUGUGGCCGUUUUCAAUUUCUCAAUUUCUCCACCAGCUCCCACUUUGCAGUUGUGUCAGCCAAUCACGACAGCUUCCCAGACUUCCGUGCAAGUGCCUGCUUUGAGGCCAAGGUGGCCAUAAAUGGCAGCUCCUCAGGCUCCUCCACAAUCUCUGGUUUCUUAUGUUUCUCCAUGAGCUCAGCUUUUUCAUCAACUCCAAUGCUUCAAGCCGAAGUCAUUAGUGAAUGUUCUACAAUCCUUCAGCUGCAGCUCCAGACCUUCACUCCUCCAGCUUCUCCUACAUCCAUCUAACCCUCAAUUCCUACAUUAAAUCUCUUUAUUCCAGAAUACUUGCAGUGACUUUGUUUUCUCACUAUACCCAGUUAUUAGUAAGAUAAGUAGUUUCCAGGAAGCUACACUUUAAGGAUAAAAAUUUUCUGAUCCCAUGGGAUUUAAAGGUUUUAACGACCUCAUUGCCAGUGAUAAUGGCAUUGGUGGUCCAUGGCAUACAGUGGCAAAAUAGUUACUACCUUGGAUGACCAAGAAGUUGCUGCAAUAGGAUUAUAUAAUGGAAAUAAAGGGUACAAGGAUUGUGGAGUGGGUUGACUAUUUCAAAGUACACUGGAGAACUUAGAAAAAGAAAAAGAUAAGCUCAAGG